CCCUUAGAUGUUCUGGGCCGCACGCGCGCUACACUGAAGGGAUCAGCGUGUUUUCCCUUUCCGAGAGGAACGGGUAACCCGCUGAACCCCCUUCGUGGUAGGGAUCGGAGCUUGCAAUUGUUCUCCGUGAACCAGGAAUUCCCAGUAAGCGCAAGUCAUAAGCUUGCGUUGAUUACGUCCCUGCCCUUUGUACACACCGCCCGUCGCUACUACCGAUUGGACGUUUUAGUGAGGUAUUUGGACUGGGCCUUGGGAGGUUUCGGCCUCCCUUGUUGCUCGGAAAGACUCCCAAACUUGAGCGUUUAGAGGAAGUAAAAGUCGUAACA
rnacentral:rRNA from 1 species